GACGAACGCUGGCGGCGCGCUUAACACAUGCAAGUCGAGCGAGAACCAGGGCUUCGGCCCUGGGGACAGCGGCGAACGGGUGAGUAACACGUGGGUAAUCUGCCCUCGGCACCGGUAUAGCCCGGGGAAACCCGGAUUAAUGCCGGAUGGCCCCUUCACCUCGCGAGGUGGCGGGAAAAGGUAGCUGCGGCCUCUGGGCAAGGAUGAGCCGGCGGCGGAUUAGCUUGUUGGCGGGGUAAUGGCCCACCAAGGCGACGAUCCGUAGCUGGUCUGAGAGGACGAUCAGCCACACUGGGACUGAGACACGGCCCAGACUCCUACGGGAGGCAGCAGUGGGGAAUCUUGCGCAAAUGCGGGAAACCGUGACGCAGCGACGCCGCGUGGGGGAAGAAGGCCUUCGGGUUGUAAACCUCUUUCAGGAGGGACGAAGCUACUCGGGUUAAUAGCCCAGAGGGUGACGGUACCUUCAGAAGAAGCCCCGGCUAACUACGUGCCAGCAGCCGCCGUAA
rnacentral:rRNA from 1 species